CAGGCAGAAGCCCUGUGUUUAGAGCUGCAAAAAGCCACCAAGCAGCUGGAGGAUGCCAGCAAGCACGCGGAGGAUCAAGUUGAAGCAUUUCACUCUGCUCGUGAAGAAGCAGCAUCCUUGAAGAGCAAGUUGGAGGAAGCCAUUUCUGAGCAGCAGAAGCUCAGGGAUGUGAAUGCAGCUUUAGCAAGCACUUGCCAGUUGCUUCAGGAGAAGGUGGAAGACCACAAAACAGCUCCAUUGCUCCAAACGACCAUGGAAUGAAGGACCCACCUCAUACUCUGACUUUCCCUGGGCACUGCCCCUGGGUGUUUCACACUGGCACAGCUCCCCUCUGCUAGAUGCUCUGACCUUAGAGACCUCCUGCCCAAAUAACCCUCCUGGGCACAGCUGGGACCAACCUUGCAGGAACAGCUCUGGCAGCUGCACCUUGGAGAGGUAUGAUGUGGGACACGUGCACAGGUCAGAUGUGACAUCAGGAGAAUGCAGGUGGAAAAUAUGCUCUGCUGAUGACUACACUGAUGCAG
rnacentral:lncRNA from 1 species